UUUCCGCAGGUGAACCUGCGGAAGGAUCAUUG
rnacentral:rRNA from 1 species